CUGCGACACGGAAAGGAAGGGUGUGGCUUUCUCUCAGGCCCCUGAACGCACAGUAGGUUUUUGGUCGAGCCAAUAGGAUCUCCUGAUGUACAGGAUGCAGUAGGUGAGAAAAAGAGAAGAUUCAGGGGAACGUGAGAGUCUGUGGAAGUGCCGGCUAUUAUGAGACCGUUUGAAAAGGAGGAAGCGGGAAGCUGGAGAUCUUAUUAAUGUGUGGCUUAACAGAAGACAGCUCGUCCUCAGCAUCGGCUUCUGUGUUCAGCUACCACACUACCUGAGAUCUAAAAUACAGAGAAUGGAACAGGCUUACUGCUGAACAACAAUCAGAUCAUGAAAACUGAGAAAAUUUGUGGGCGUGAUUAGACCAUGUGGAAUAAAAGGUUCUUUGGCUGAUCUAAUCAUUAAAUGGACAGAAAACAGAUUAAAACAGGAGAACGACAGAUUUCAUACAGAUGGGAGCCCCAUAAAAAUAUGGGUCUCCCCACCAUCCUGAGCUAAGAGGAGAAGGUGUUGGGGGUCUGGGGAAUAGAAAAGGAAGAAGUCAGUUCACAGGACACUGAGAAGAGCAGAUGUUUGGUAAACAGACAUUUGCCACGUAGGUUAGUCUUUUGAAUAUAAAAGUUACUUAUCAGUAUGGUAAUCUCUCUCUUUCUGGUGCACAGCCCCCCAACCCCAUCUAAAUUCUAUUAGGCAGUUAAUGAGGGGUGCAAAAAGUUCUCCCCGGGUCAGCUGGGCCCUGGCUUCAGCCUGAAGUAAUCCACAUGCCAAGUAGCACAUUCUGGGUGGCAUCUUCUGCUGCCCCUUAGAAACUAAGUACACUGAAAAAAAAUCGUAGGUAUAAAAACAUUUUGGAAACAGAAAAUCACAAGCAGGGACACAGGAUGGAAACCCAGGGUUAACGACCCAGCAUACACUCCUGUAGAAAACACUCUUUUACUUUUUCUCUCUUCCUGAAAGCACUUGGAAAACCAUAAAGUGCUACAUUCAUAUUAGCACAAGGAAAUGCGUUUUUAAUAUCUCCUCAGAGCAGCCUGCAGAGGGGUAAGCUGAAAGAGUAGCAUUUGGGGGGUGUGUAAAAUCCGGCACUAAACUGGGACAGAGAGACCCGGACUGAACAUUCAGAAAGAGAUGCAAAAAUAAUGAGGUCUUAGGAGCUGGGGUCCCGUACGAGCCUUGCAGGAGGAAAAGAGAAAAGGGACAAGUAUCACCUUAAAAACAAUUUUGCAAAAUGCUGUGUCCUCAUCGAGGGUGAA